rnacentral:lncRNA from 10 species
UGCCUGUAAUCCCAGCUACUUGGGAGGCUGAGGCAGGAGAAUGGCGUGAACCCGGGAAGCAGAGUGUACAGUGAGCCAAGAUCACGCCAUUGCACUCCAGCCUGGGCGACAGAGCGAGACUCCGUCUCAAAAAAAAAAGAAAUACAGUCAUGCACAGCAUAGUGACCUUUCAGUCAACAACAUUUAUGAAGAUGGUUGCAAAGAUUACACCAAACUUUUACUGCACCUUUCCUAUGUUCAGAUACUCACAUACUCAGCAUCGUACUACAACUGCCCACAGUAUUCAGUACAGCAACCUGCUGUGCAGGUUUUAGCCCAGGAGCAACAGGCUAUGCCACACAGC